rnacentral:lncRNA from 1 species
CUCGGGUAGGGGGGAGGUGUGCGCGCUGCCCCUGCUCUGCUGUCUCAGCUCCCAGGACUGAUGCUUCCCAGUCUAAAGGGCUAAUUGGUCUGAUUACCUUCUGGACGGCCCACCCGGCUGCAUGCAGUUCCCAGACUGGAUUUAGGGGGUUGGGGAGGACUUGAGUCCUCAGGACUUGGAGUUCCCUGCCCUAGAGGAGACAGUCCCUACCGCUCAGGGGGCCCCAGGCUGGCGGGGGAGACGCGGCCCCUGCGCUCAGGGCUCCCACUCUGACCAGGGAUGUGGAAAUGAAGGCGGGGACAUCAGGGUUGGGGGAGGCAAAGAAGGGAUGGCUCUGCUGGGCUGGGGCAGAAACGGCGGGGGAAGGGGGGCGGCUGAGAGAGGCCAGGGAAGAAGAGGGCCCCGUGGCGGGGUCUAAGUGGCUUUCACUGCAGACUUCUUUUAGAAGUCACCAGGAGGGCCCCAAAGGUGUGCCUAGUGAUCCUGGAGCUGUCCAAUGUCCCCAGGUGGGAAGGGCCAGAGCCAAAGACAUCAGCAGGGGCUGCGGAAGUAGCAAGCGAAGUGGGGACGCGUGUGCAGAGAUGCGCCCGGUCAGCGCACGCAAUCUGCCAACAGCCCGGACCCCGAUGAAUCGCGAAGGCAGAGCCUGAAGCGUCACAAAGCACCGGAGGAACUCUCCACCCAUCCCCCUUCCUCCUCCGCGAGGCAGGGGCCCCGGAUUCUAGCCCCGGCUCUACCAUUUACUGCCACGGACCCUUGGGCAAGUCACUUCCCUUCUCUGGGCCUUAGUUUCCUCCCUUGUAAAAGUGAGCGAGUAGGACUAAUGGAACGCCCCAGGCCCCAGGGUGCUGAGCCGUGCUCCCACGGCGGGACAGGAACUGGGGACAAGGCUCAGAGUUGGUUGGCAGGGUGGAAGGGGAGGCUACAGAGAAAGGGCGAGACAUAAUCCUUGCCCCGGAAAAGGUUCAUCAGGAAGGUAUAGAAGAGAAGGAUGGUGACAGAGAGCCUGGCCCAUCCUGCAGGGUCCCCUCUUGUGCCCUUGGUUGCACAGCUGGGCUCUUGGUUUAGAUUUUCUCCGGGGGCUAGGCAAAACGUCAACUCCCUUUGUCCCCAUGCUCAUCAUCCUUUGUCACCUUGCCCAUAGGGCCUGUGGUCCUACCUCUCCCUGAGAAUGAACUUCCCCCCACCACACGCAUUCUUUUCUCGUCCAGAUCUCCCUGCACUUUCAUAAUCCUCCUCCUCCUGGAAGU